rnacentral:rRNA from 1 species
UACGUAGGGGGCAAGCGUUGUCCGGAAUUAUUGAGCGUAAAGAGCUCGUAGGCGGUCUGUCGCGUCGGUCGUGAAAACUUGGGGCUUAACCCUGAGCUUGCGGUCGAUACGGGCAUGACUGGAGUUCGGCAGGGGAGACUGGAAUUCCUGGUGUAGCGGUGAAAUGCGCAGAUAUCAGGAGGAACACCGGUGGCGAAGGCGGGUCUCUGGGCCGAUACUGACGCUGAGGAGCGAAAGCUAGGGGAGCGAACGGG